GAUGAACGCUAGCUGCAGGCUUAACACAUGCAAGUCGAGGGACGGACGCACGGGUGAGUAAUAGGUAUCCAACCUUCCUUUUACUGGGGGAUAGCCUAUCGGAAGAAUGAUUAAUACUAGACGUAAAGGAGGGGGAUGCGUUCCAUUAGGUUGUUGGUGAGGUAAGGGCUCGCCAAGCCUUGAAGGGAUAGGGGGUUUGAGAGGAAGGGCCCCCACGUUGGAACGGAGACACGGUCCAAACUCCUACGUGAGGCAGGAGUGAGGAAUAUUGGUUACUGGGCGUUAGCCUGAACCAGCCAAGUAGCGUGAAGGAGGAAGGCUUAUGGGUCGUAGACUUCUUUUAUAUAAGAAUAUGUAUUAUAUGAAUAAGGAUCGGCUAACUCCGUGCCAGCAGCCGCGGUAAUAC
rnacentral:rRNA from 1 species